rnacentral:rRNA from 1 species
GAUGAACGCUGGCGGCGGGCCUAAUACAUGCAAGUCGAGCGAACAGACGAGGAUCUUGCUCCUCUGACGUGAGCGGCGGACGGGUGAGUAACACGUGGAUAACCUACCUAUAAGACUGGGAUAACUUCGGGAAACCGGAUCUAAUACCGGAUAAUAUAUUGAACCGCGUGGUUCAAUAGUGAAAGACGGUUUUGCUGUCACUUAUAGAUGGAUCCGCGCCGCAUUAGCUAGUUGGUAAGGUAACGGCUUACCAAGGCAGCGAUGCGUAGCCGACCUGAGAGGGUGAUCGGCCACACUGGAACUGAGACACGGUCCAGACUCCUACGGGAGGCAGCAGUAGGGAAUCUUACGCAAUGGGCGAAAGCCUGACCGAGCAACGCCGCGUGAGUGAUGAAGGUCUUCGGAUCGUAAAACUCUGUUAUUAGGGAAGAACAACUGUGUAAGUAACUAUGCCCGUCUUGACGGUACCUAAUCAGAAAGCCCCGGCUAACUACGUG